GGGCGUAGGUGGACGGUUGACGGUGACCCUAUGGUUGCUGAGGAAAGUCCUCUCUCACUCUGAAUCAGGAUCCUGUGCAAGCAGGUAAGGCGAGAGUCUUAGCAGAGGAACAGAAACGACACAGCCCUUGGAUUAUGCGAUGAUUCAUUUGAUGAUGAGAUCUCCGAGGGAUUUGGUGAAACGGCCAAUCUGCUCCUGGAGCAAGCCCAAACAUCGGGAUCAGUUAUUCAGACUGCUCGUAGGUAGGGCGCAUUAGACAAAUACCGUUAGAACAGAAAGAGGCUUACGGCCUACACCC
rfam:Thermoplasmatales archaeon SM1-50 WOR1_30_36_1034, whole genome shotgun sequence.